AGCUUUGCGCAGUGGUAGUAUCGUAGCCAGUGAGGUUUAUCUGAGGUGUGAUUAUUGCUAAUUGAAAAGCUCUUU
rnacentral:snRNA from 1 species